rnacentral:rRNA from 1 species
AUUGAACGCUGGCGGCAGGCCUAACACAUGCAAGUCGAGCGCGAGGCGGAGGGGUGAGUAAUGUAUCGGGAUAUGCCUGAUGGCGGGGGAUAACUCGUGGAAAAGGUAGCUCUUACCGCAUACCAUCAGAUGAACCAAUAUGGUAUGAGAUUUGGGGUGAGGUAACGGCUCACCUAGGCGACGAUCCCUAGCUGGUCUGAGAGGAUGAUCAGCCACACUGGGACUGAGACACGGCCCAGACUCCUACGGGAGGCAGCAGUGGGGAAUAUUGCACAAUGGGGGCAAGCCUGAUGCAGCCAUGCCGCGUGUAUGAAGAAGGCCUUCGGGUUGUAAAGUACUUUCAGUCGGGAGGCGUUACCGACAGAAGAAGCACCGGCUAACUCCGUGCCAGCAGCCGCGGUAAUAC